rnacentral:tRNA from 1 species
GGAGAGAUGGCUCAGAGGUUAGAGCACUGCCUGCUGUUCCAGAGGUCCUGGGUUCAAUUCCCAGCACCC